GAUGAAGAACGCAACGAAAUGCGAUAAGUAAUGUGAAUUGCAGAAUUCAGUGAAUCAUCGAAUCUUUGAACGCACAUUGCGCCCGCCAGUAUUCUGGCGGGCAUGCCUGUCUGAGCGUCAUUUCAACCCUCAAGCAACUUCUGCUUGGUGUUGGGGAUCGGCCGUCAAACGCCGCCCCCGAAAUCUAUUGGCGAUCUCGCUGUAGCUUCCUAUGCGUAGUAGUAACAUCUCGCAUCUGGAGAGCGGCGCGGUCAUGCCGUAAAACACCCAACUUCUCAGGUUGACCUCAGAUCAGGUAGGAAUACCCGCUGAACUUAAGCAUAUCAAUAAGCGGAGGA
rnacentral:misc_RNA from 1 species